AUACGGAGGGGGUUAGCGUUGUUCGGAAUUACUGGGCGUAAAGCGCACGUAGGCGGAUUGGAAAGUUGGGGGUGAAAUCCCAGGGCUCAACCCUGGAACUGCCUCCAAAACUAACAGUCUAGAGUUCGAGAGAGGUGAGUGGAAUUCCAAGUGUAGAGGUGAAAUUCGUAGGUAUUUGGAGGAACACCAGUGGCGAAGGCGGCUCACUGGCUCGAUACUGACGCUGAGGUGCGAAAGCGUGGGGAGCAAACAGGAUUAGAAACCCUAGUAGUCC
rnacentral:rRNA from 1 species